CUUGAUUAAAUGGUUAAGAACGUAGAACAUAUCCAGAAGAUAAUUCUGGAUUGAGUCAUUCUUUAUCAUUUCUAUUUCUUUGCUUUGAUGGCAAGACAUACAAAUUGAACAGUGAAAAUGUUUUUCUGCAACGCACGGAUUCUUCAGAGCAUGGAGCCUAGAGUUUUAAUUUGGUGAUCUCUAGUAAAUUUUUUCUGUUUCAAUCUUUAUCAAUUCUGAGAGCAUAUAUUUUAUGAUUUGUUAUUUAUUCUUUGGUGUUGCAGGAGAGGAUAUGAUUUUGAUUUACAUGUCGAUAUGCUUUUCUCAAAAUUUCACACAAUUAAGCAUCUCUUGACUCUUCUUUUACUCAUAAAGAUUUUGUUUUUUUAUAAUUUUUUGAUAUAACUCUUUGUAUGAUAGUCGAGAGAUGAGUUUAUCUGUUUUGCAGCGUGCUAAAAAGUUUCGAUGUUCAGAAUGAUCUUCUGAUCAGGGACUUGGUUUGGAGGACUAUGCUACUCUUCUUUCUUUCUUUUUUUUUUUGGUCAAUGGAGAAAUUAAAGAUGAGUGCGCCUCAUUGGUGGGAUUAAUUUGGCAAUGCUGGUGUUGAAGUUUUCGUGUUUCUUCCAGUUUUGAAGGUUUUAUUUUCUGAGUACUACUCUGGCAAAGAUAAAGAUAUAAGUCUGGAUGGAAAUUUGGUCAACUAUUCUAAGAAUCUUUACAUUUCAGUCUUUUUUUGAUACUUAGCAUAUACUUCUGUCAGUUCCUGAGUUUUCUUUAUGGGUGUUGCAGGGGAGAGAGCCUAUAAAUAUGUGCUUCACUAUGGAACCCAUGGCAUGGCAGACAGAGGCUCACUGAUGUUGAGCCUAUAAUGUGCGGCUUGCUAGGGAUCCAGUGGUAAGAAGAGGAUCACACACUUUCUGCUCAGCCUUGGGAUAGUGUUAGGAGCAUGCGUACGAAGCAUUUAAAAUUCUUGACAAGUGAAAAUGUUUUUCUGCAACGCACGGAUUCUUCAGAGCAUGGAGCCUAGAGUUUUAAUUUGGUGAUCUCUGGUAAAUUUUUUCUGUUUCAAUCUUUAUCAAUUCUGAGAGCAUAUAUUUUAUGAUUUGUUAUUUAUUCUUUGGUGUUGCAGGAGAGGAUAUGAUUUUGAUUUACAUGUCGAUAUGCUUUUCUCAAAAUUUCACACAAUUAAGCAUCUCUUGACUCUUCUUUUACUCAUAAAGAUUUUGUUUUUUUAUAAUAUUUUGAUAUAACUCUUUGUAUGAUAGUCGAGAGAUGAGUUUAUCUGUUUUGCAGCGUGCUAAAAAGUUUCGAUGUUCAGAAUGAUCUUCUGAUCAGGGACUUGGUUUGGAGGACUAUGCUACUCUUCUUUCUUUCUUUUUUUUUUUGGUCAAUGGAGAAAUUAAAGAUGAGUGCGCCUCAUUGGUGGGAUUAAUUUGGCAAUGCUGGUGUUGAAGUUUUCGUGUUUCUUCCAGUUUUGAAGGUUUUAUUUUCUGAGUACUACUCUGGCAAAGAUAAAGAUAUAAGUCUGGAUGGAAAUUUGGUCAACUAUUCUAAGAAUCUUUACAUUUCAGUCUUUUUUUGAUACUUAGCAUAUACUUCUGUCAGUUCCUGAGUUUUCUUUAUGGGUGUUGCAGGGGAGAGAGCCUAUAAAUAUGUGCUUCACUAUGGAACCCAUGGCAUGGCAGACAGAGGCUCACUGAUGUUGAGCCUAUAAUGUGCGGCUUGCUAGGGAUCCAGUGGUAAGAAGAGGAUCACACACUUUCUGCUCAGCCUUGGGAUAGUGUUAGGAGCAUGCGUACGAAGCAUUUAAAAUUCUUGACAAGUGAAAAUGUUUUUCUGCAACGCACGGAUUCUUCAGAGCAUGGAGCCUAGAGUUUUAAUUUGGUGAUCUCUGGUAAAUUUUUUCUGUUUCAAUCUUUAUCAAUUCUGAGAGCAUAUAUUUUAUGAUUUGUUAUUUAUUCUUUGGUGUUGCAGGAGAGGAUAUGAUUUUGAUUUACAUGUCGAUAUGCUUUUCUCAAAAUUUCACACAAUUAAGCAUCUCUUGACUCUUCUUUUACUCAUAAAGAUUUUGUUUUUUUAUAAUAUUUUGAUAUAACUCUUUGUAUGAUAGUCGAGAGAUGAGUUUAUCUGUUUUGCAGCGUGCUAAAAAGUUUCGAUGUUCAGAAUGAUCUUCUGAUCAGGGACUUGGUUUGGAGGACUAUGCUACUCUUCUUUCUUUCUUUUUUUUUUCGGUCAAGUACUCUUCUUUCUUCAUUCUUAGAUUUUUUCUACACCUAUUUUUCUCAACCUUAUUAACUUUUUUUUUUUUUAUUGUAAGUGGAGAAAUUAAAGAUGAGUGCGCCUCAUUGGUGGGAUUAAUUUGGCAAUGCUGGUGUUGAAGUUUUCGUGUUUCUUCCAGUUUUGAAGGUUUUAUUUUCUGAGUACUACUCUGGCAAAGAUAAAGAUAUAAGUCUGGAUGGAAAUUUGGUCAACUAUUCUAAGAAUCUUUACAUUUCAGUCUUUUUUUGAUACUUAGCAUAUACUUCUGUCAGUUCCUGAGUUUUCUUUAUGGGUGUUGCAGGGGAGAGAGCCUAUAAAUAUGUGCUUCACUAUGGAACCCAUGGCAUGGCAGACAGAGGCUCACUGAUGUUGAGCCUAUAAUGUGCGGCUUGCUAGGGAUCCAGUGGUAAGAAGAGGAUCACACACUUUCUGCUCAGCCUUGGGAUAGUGUUAGGAGCAUGCGUACGAAGCAUUUAAAAUUCUUGACAAGUGAAAAUGUUUUUCUGCAACGCACGGAUUCUUCAGAGCAUGGAGCCUAGAGUUUUAAUUUGGUGAUCUCUGGUAAAUUUUUUCUGUUUCAAUCUUUAUCAAUUCUGAGAGCAUAUAUUUUAUGAUUUGUUAUUUAUUCUUUGGUGUUGCAGGAGAGGAUAUGAUUUUGAUUUACAUGUCGAUAUGCUUUUCUCAAAAUUUCACACAAUUAAGCAUCUCUUGACUCUUCUUUUACUCAUAAAGAUUUUGUUUUUUUAUAAUAUUUUGAUAUAACUCUUUGUAUGAUAGUCGAGAGAUGAGUUUAUCUGUUUUGCAGCGUGCUAAAAAGUUUCGAUGUUCAGAAUGAUCUUCUGAUCAGGGACUUGGUUUGGAGGACUAUGCUACUCUUCUUUCUUUCUUUUUUUUUUUGGUCAAUGGAGAAAUUAAAGAUGAGUGCGCCUCAUUGGUGGGAUUAAUUUGGCAAUGCUGGUGUUGAAGUUUUCGUGUUUCUUCCAGUUUUGAAGGUUUUAUUUUCUGAGUACUACUCUGGCAAAGAUAAAGAUAUAAGUCUGGAUGGAAAUUUGGUCAACUAUUCUAAGAAUCUUUACAUUUCAGUCUUUUUUUGAUACUUAGCAUAUACUUCUGUCAGUUCCUGAGUUUUCUUUAUGGGUGUUGCAGGGGAGAGAGCCUAUAAAUAUGUGCUUCACUAUGGAACCCAUGGCAUGGCAGACAGAGGCUCACUGAUGUUGAGCCUAUAAUGUGCGGCUUGCUAGGGAUCCAGUGGUAAGAAGAGGAUCACACACUUUCUGCUCAGCCUUGGGAUAGUGUUAGGAGCAUGCGUACGAAGCAUUUAAAAUUCUUGACAAGUGAAAAUGUUUUUCUGCAACGCACGGAUUCUUCAGAGCAUGGAGCCUAGAGUUUUAAUUUGGUGAUCUCUAGUAAAUUUUUUCUGUUUCAAUCUUUAUCAAUUCUGAGAGCAUAUAUUUUAUGAUUUGUUAUUUAUUCUUUGGUGUUGCAGGAGAGGAUAUGAUUUUGAUUUACAUGUCGAUAUGCUUUUCUCAAAAUUUCACACAAUUAAGCAUCUCUUGACUCUUCUUUUACUCAUAAAGAUUUUGUUUUUUUAUAAUAUUUUGAUAUAACUCUUUGUAUGAUAGUCGAGAGAUGAGUUUAUCUGUUUUGCAGCGUGCUAAAAAGUUUCGAUGUUCAGAAUGAUCUUCUGAUCAGGGACUUGGUUUGGAGGACUAUGCUACUCUUCUUUCUUUCUUUUUUUUUUCGGUCAAGUACUCUUCUUUCUUCAUUCUUAGAUUUUUUCUACACCUAUUUUUCUCAACCUUAUUAACUUUUUUUUUUUUUAUUGUAAGUGGAGAAAUUAAAGAUGAGUGCGCCUCAUUGGUGGGAUUAAUUUGGCAAUGCUGGUGUUGAAGUUUUCGUGUUUCUUCCAGUUUUGAAGGUUUUAUUUUCUGAGUACUACUCUGGCAAAGAUAAAGAUAUAAGUCUGGAUGGAAAUUUGGUCAACUAUUCUAAGAAUCUUUACAUUUCAGUCUUUUUUUGAUACUUAGCAUAUACUUCUGUCAGUUCCUGAGUUUUCUUUAUGGGUGUUGCAGGGGAGAGAGCCUAUAAAUAUGUGCUUCACUAUGGAACCCAUGGCAUGGCAGACAGAGGCUCACUGAUGUUGAGCCUAUAAUGUGCGGCUUGCUAGGGAUCCAGUGGUAAGAAGAGGAUCACACACUUUCUGCUCAGCCUUGGGAUAGUGUUAGGAGCAUGCGUACGAAGCAUUUAAAAUUCUUGACAAGGAGAGGAUAUGAUUUUGAUUUACAUGUCGAUAUGCUUUUCUCAAAAUUUCACACAAUUAAGCAUCUCUUGACUCUUCUUUUACUCAUAAAGAUUUUGUUUUUUUAUAAUAUUUUGAUAUAACUCUUUGUAUGAUAGUCGAGAGAUGAGUUUAUCUGUUUUGCAGCGUGCUAAAAAGUUUCGAUGUUCAGAAUGAUCUUCUGAUCAGGGACUUGGUUUGGAGGACUAUGCUACUCUUCUUUCUUUCUUUUUUUUUUUGGUCAAUGGAGAAAUUAAAGAUGAGUGCGCCUCAUUGGUGGGAUUAAUUUGGCAAUGCUGGUGUUGAAGUUUUCGUGUUUCUUCCAGUUUUGAAGGUUUUAUUUUCUGAGUACUACUCUGGCAAAGAUAAAGAUAUAAGUCUGGAUGGAAAUUUGGGGAGAGAGCCUAUAAAUAUGUGCUUCACUAUGGAACCCAUGGCAUGGCAGACAGAGGCUCACUGAUGUUGAGCCUAUAAUGUGCGGCUUGCUAGGGAUCCAGUGGUAAGAAGAGGAUCACACACUUUCUGCUCAGCCUUGGGAUAGUGUUAGGAGCAUGCGUACGAAGCAUUUAAAAUUCUUGACAAGGAGAGGAUAUGAUUUUGAUUUACAUGUCGAUAUGCUUUUCUCAAAAUUUCACACAAUUAAGCAUCUCUUGACUCUUCUUUUACUCAUAAAGAUUUUGUUUUUUUAUAAUAUUUUGAUAUAACUCUUUGUAUGAUAGUCGAGAGAUGAGUUUAUCUGUUUUGCAGCGUGCUAAAAAGUUUCGAUGUUCAGAAUGAUCUUCUGAUCAGGGACUUGGUUUGGAGGACUAUGCUACUCUUCUUUCUUUCUUUUUUUUUUUGGUCAAUGGAGAAAUUAAAGAUGAGUGCGCCUCAUUGGUGGGAUUAAUUUGGCAAUGCUGGUGUUGAAGUUUUCGUGUUUCUUCCAGUUUUGAAGGUUUUAUUUUCUGAGUACUACUCUGGCAAAGAUAAAGAUAUAAGUCUGGAUGGAAAUUUGGUCAACUAUUCUAAGAAUCUUUACAUUUCAGUCUUUUUUUGAUACUUAGCAUAUACUUCUGUCAGUUCCUGAGUUUUCUUUAUGGGUGUUGCAGGGGAGAGAGCCUAUAAAUAUGUGCUUCACUAUGGAACCCAUGGCAUGGCAGACAGAGGCUCACUGAUGUUGAGCCUAUAAUGUGCGGCUUGCUAGGGAUCCAGUGGUAAGAAGAGGAUCACACACUUUCUGCUCAGCCUUGGGAUAGUGUUAGGAGCAUGCGUACGAAGCAUUUAAAAUUCUUGACAAGGAGAGGAUAUGAUUUUGAUUUACAUGUCGAUAUGCUUUUCUCAAAAUUUCACACAAUUAAGCAUCUCUUGACUCUUCUUUUACUCAUAAAGAUUUUGUUUUUUUAUAAUAUUUUGAUAUAACUCUUUGUAUGAUAGUCGAGAGAUGAGUUUAUCUGUUUUGCAGCGUGCUAAAAAGUUUCGAUGUUCAGAAUGAUCUUCUGAUCAGGGACUUGGUUUGGAGGACUAUGCUACUCUUCUUUCUUUCUUUUUUUUUUUGGUCAAUGGAGAAAUUAAAGAUGAGUGCGCCUCAUUGGUGGGAUUAAUUUGGCAAUGCUGGUGUUGAAGUUUUCGUGUUUCUUCCAGUUUUGAAGGUUUUAUUUUCUGAGUACUACUCUGGCAAAGAUAAAGAUAUAAGUCUGGAUGGAAAUUUGGUCAACUAUUCUAAGAAUCUUUACAUUUCAGUCUUUUUUUGAUACUUAGCAUAUACUUCUGUCAGUUCCUGAGUUUUCUUUAUGGGUGUUGCAGGGGAGAGAGCCUAUAAAUAUGUGCUUCACUAUGGAACCCAUGGCAUGGCAGACAGAGGCUCACUGAUGUUGAGCCUAUAAUGUGCGGCUUGCUAGGGAUCCAGUGGUAAGAAGAGGAUCACACACUUUCUGCUCAGCCUUGGGAUAGUGUUAGGAGCAUGCGUACGAAGCAUUUAAAAUUCUUGACAAGGAGAGGAUAUGAUUUUGAUUUACAUGUCGAUAUGCUUUUCUCAAAAUUUCACACAAUUAAGCAUCUCUUGACUCUUCUUUUACUCAUAAAGAUUUUGUUUUUUUAUAAUAUUUUGAUAUAACUCUUUGUAUGAUAGUCGAGAGAUGAGUUUAUCUGUUUUGCAGCGUGCUAAAAAGUUUCGAUGUUCAGAAUGAUCUUCUGAUCAGGGACUUGGUUUGGAGGACUAUGCUACUCUUCUUUCUUUCUUUUUUUUUUUGGUCAAUGGAGAAAUUAAAGAUGAGUGCGCCUCAUUGGUGGGAUUAAUUUGGCAAUGCUGGUGUUGAAGUUUUCGUGUUUCUUCCAGUUUUGAAGGUUUUAUUUUCUGAGUACUACUCUGGCAAAGAUAAAGAUAUAAGUCUGGAUGGAAAUUUGGUCAACUAUUCUAAGAAUCUUUACAUUUCAGUCUUUUUUUGAUACUUAGCAUAUACUUCUGUCAGUUCCUGAGUUUUCUUUAUGGGUGUUGCAGGGGAGAGAGCCUAUAAAUAUGUGCUUCACUAUGGAACCCAUGGCAUGGCAGACAGAGGCUCACUGAUGUUGAGCCUAUAAUGUGCGGCUUGCUAGGGAUCCAGUGGUAAGAAGAGGAUCACACACUUUCUGCUCAGCCUUGGGAUAGUGUUAGGAGCAUGCGUACGAAGCAUUUAAAAUUCUUGACAAGUGAAAAUGUUUUUCUGCAACGCACGGAUUCUUCAGAGCAUGGAGCCUAGAGUUUUAAUUUGGUGAUCUCUGGUAAAUUUUUUCUGUUUCAAUCUUUAUCAAUUCUGAGAGCAUAUAUUUUAUGAUUUGUUAUUUAUUCUUUGGUGUUGCAGGAGAGGAUAUGAUUUUGAUUUACAUGUCGAUAUGCUUUUCUCAAAAUUUCACACAAUUAAGCAUCUCUUGACUCUUCUUUUACUCAUAAAGAUUUUGUUUUUUUAUAAUAUUUUGAUAUAACUCUUUGUAUGAUAGUCGAGAGAUGAGUUUAUCUGUUUUGCAGCGUGCUAAAAAGUUUCGAUGUUCAGAAUGAUCUUCUGAUCAGGGACUUGGUUUGGAGGACUAUGCUACUCUUCUUUCUUUCUUUUUUUUUUUGGUCAAUGGAGAAAUUAAAGAUGAGUGCGCCUCAUUGGUGGGAUUAAUUUGGCAAUGCUGGUGUUGAAGUUUUCGUGUUUCUUCCAGUUUUGAAGGUUUUAUUUUCUGAGUACUACUCUGGCAAAGAUAAAGAUAUAAGUCUGGAUGGAAAUUUGGUCAACUAUUCUAAGAAUCUUUACAUUUCAGUCUUUUUUUGAUACUUAGCAUAUACUUCUGUCAGUUCCUGAGUUUUCUUUAUGGGUGUUGCAGGGGAGAGAGCCUAUAAAUAUGUGCUUCACUAUGGAACCCAUGGCAUGGCAGACAGAGGCUCACUGAUGUUGAGCCUAUAAUGUGCGGCUUGCUAGGGAUCCAGUGGUAAGAAGAGGAUCACACACUUUCUGCUCAGCCUUGGGAUAGUGUUAGGAGCAUGCGUACGAAGCAUUUAAAAUUCUUGACAAGUGAAAAUGUUUUUCUGCAACGCACGGAUUCUUCAGAGCAUGGAGCCUAGAGUUUUAAUUUGGUGAUCUCUGGUAAAUUUUUUCUGUUUCAAUCUUUAUCAAUUCUGAGAGCAUAUAUUUUAUGAUUUGUUAUUUAUUCUUUGGUGUUGCAGGAGAGGAUAUGAUUUUGAUUUACAUGUCGAUAUGCUUUUCUCAAAAUUUCACACAAUUAAGCAUCUCUUGACUCUUCUUUUACUCAUAAAGAUUUUGUUUUUUAUAAUUUUUUGAUAUAACUCUUUGUAUGAUAGUCGAGAGAUGAGUUUAUCUGUUUUGCAGCGUGCUAAAAAGUUUCGAUGUUCAGAAUGAUCUUCUGAUCAGGGACUUGGUUUGGAGGACUAUGCUACUCUUCUUUCUUUCUUUUUUUUUUCGGUCAAGUACUCUUCUUUCUUCAUUCUUAGAUUUUUUCUACACCUAUUUUUCUCAACCUUGUUAACUGUUUUUUUUAUUGUAAGUGGAGAAAUUAAAGAUGAGUGCGCCUCAUUGCUGGGAUUAAUUUGGCAAUGCUGGUGUUGAAGUUUUCGUGUUUCUUCCAGUUUUGAAGGUUUUAUUUGCUGAGUACUACUUUGGCAAAGAUAAAGAUAUAAGUCUGGAUGGAAAUUUGGUCAACUAUUCUAAGAAUCUUUACAUUUCAGUCUUUUUUUGAUACUUAGCAUAUACUUCUGUCAGUUCCUGAGUUUUCUUUCUUGUCCAUGUUGCGGUGUGCUAAUUUCUGAUUUUUGAAUAUCUAGAACAAUUUGCAAUUCUCGAUGAUAAUAUAAGAAUGAUUGUAUAGGUGAAAUUUCUUCGAUGAGUUGUUCUCUAUUAUUUUAUUGCUGAGCUUUGAAUAUUUUUGAGUUUUAAAUCUAAGACACAAAUUGAAUUGUGUACCUGUUCUUAUGCAGUGUGGUUAUGUCAAAAUAAUGAUGUUCUUUCAUAAUAGCACGGAGCCUCAAAUUUUGGUUUGCAUAUUUCAUUUUAAAGCAUAUUUUUCUUGAUAUUUUAGUUCAUCUGGUGUUAUAAUUUUCUUUCUCUUGUUUGAUCUUCUGACUUUGUAUUCUGAUUCUUUUUGCGGGUCUUUUCAUUGAGAGAUAUGUGUCUAUCCAUUUUGCAGCGAGAUGAAGUCUUUGGAUAUGUAGAACAUUUGAGAUUCUUGAUUAAAUGGUUAAGAACGGAGAACAUAUCCUGAUAAUUCUUCAAUGGGUCAUUCUUUAUCAUUUCUAUUUCUUUACUUUGAUGGCAAGACAUACAAAUUGAACGGUGAAAAUGUUUUCCUGCAGCGCACCGCUUCUUCAAAGCAUGGAGCCUAGAGUUUGGAUUUGGUGAUCUCCAGAAGAGAUGUGAUCUAUAUGUACAAACAAGUCCUUCUGGUUCUAUCCUCCUCCUGUUUCUCACUUUUUUUCCUUGGUUACUCUGGUAUAUGCCGAGGUUUGAUUUGUUUCUUGCUGGCUUCUAUCGUUGAGUUUGUUAUUCUUAUUUUAAUGAGCGCUCCUACUAAUGAUUUGUACCAA